AACGAACGCUGGCGGCAUGCCUAACACAUGCAAGUCGAACGAGACCUUCGGGUCUAGUGGCGCACGGGUGCGUAACGCGGGGGAACCUGCCCUUAGGUUCGGAAUAACUCCCCGAAAGGGGUGCUAAUACCGGAUAAUGUCUUCGGACCAAAGAUUUAUCGCCUUUGGAUGGGCCCGCGUUGGAUUAGCUGGUUGGUAGGGUAAAAGCCUACCAAGGCGACGAUCCAUAGCUGGUCUGGGAGGAUGAUCAGCCACACUGGGACUGAGACACGGCCCAGACUCCUACGGGAGGCAGCAGUGGGGAAUAUUAGACAAUGGACGAAAGCCUGAUACAGCAAUGCCGCGUAAGUGAUGAAGGCCUUAGUGUUGUACAGCUCUUUUACCCGGGAUGAUAAUGACAGUACCGGGAGAAUAAGCUCCGGCUAACUACGUG
rnacentral:rRNA from 1 species